UGGGAACGUGCCCAAAGGUACGGAACAACUCCGGGAAACUGGAGCUAAUACCGUAUGUGCCCGAAAGGGGAAAGAUUCAUCGCCUUUGGAUCGGCCCGCGUCUGAUUAGCUAGUUGGCGGGGUAAUGGCCCACCAAGGCGACGAUUAGUAGCUGGUCUGAGAGGAUGACCAGCCACACUGGGACUGAGACACGGCCCAGACUCCUACGGGAGGCAG
rnacentral:rRNA from 1 species